rnacentral:rRNA from 1 species
UUUGAUCCUSSYUCAGGAUGAACGCUAGCGGCAGGCCUAAUACAUGCAAGCUGAACGGCAAGAGCUUUAGCAAUAGAGUUCCUAGAGUAGCGUAAGGGUGCGUAACACGUAUGCAAUCUACCCACAACAGGAGGAUAGCUCCCCGAAAGGGGAAUUAAGACUCCAUAAUAUCAUAUGAGGGCAUCUGAGUAUGAUUAAAGUACAAGCGGUUGUGGAUGAGCAUGCGUCUGAUUAGUUAGUUGGCGGGGUAACGGCCCACCAAGACGAUGAUCAGUAGGGGAACUGAGAGGUUGGUCCCCCACACUGGCACUGAGAUACGGGCCAGACUCCUACGGGAGGCAGCAGUAGGGAAUAUUGGACAAUGGGUGCAAGCCUGAUCCAGCCAUGCCGCGUGCAGGAAGAAGGCCUUCUGGGUCGUAAACUGCUUUUACCGGGGGAUAAAAUACUCGUGCGCGAGGAAUUGAAAGUACCUGGUGAAUAAGCCACGGCUAACUACGUGCCAGCAGCCGCGGUAAUACGUAGGUGGCAAGCGUUGUCCGGAUUUAUUGGGUUUAAAGGGUGCGUAGGCGGUCCUGUAAGUCAGUUGUGAAAUACGGCAGCUUAACUGUCGAGGUGCAAUUGAUACUGCAGGACUUGAGUACUGAUGAGGUAGGCGGAAUGGACGGUGUAGCGGUGAAAUGCUUUAGAUAUUACACAGAACACYCGAUUGCGAAGGCAGCUUACUAAACUGUUACUGACGCUGAUGCACGAAAGCGUGGGGAGCGAACAGAUUAGAUACCCUKGGUAGUCCACGCCGUAACGAUGCUCAYUCGCUGUUUGCGAWACACAGCAAGCGGCCMAGCGAAAGCUUAAGUGAGCCACCUGGGGGAGUWCGAUCGCAAGGUUGAAA